rnacentral:rRNA from 1 species
UUGAACGCUGGCGGCAUGCUUUACACAUGCAAGUCGAACGGCAGCGCGGGCUUCGGCCUGGCGGCGAGUGGCGAACGGGUGAGUCAUGCAUCGGAACGUGCCCAGUCGUGGGGGAUAGCCCGGCGAAAGCCGGAUUAAUACCGCAUACGACCUGAGGGUGCAAGCGGGGGACCGAAAGGCCUCGCGCUAUUGGAGCGGCCGAUGUCGGAUUAGCUAGUUGGUGGGGUAAAGGCUUACCAAGGCGACGAUCCGUAGCUGGUCUGAGAGGACGACCAGCCACACUGGGACUGAGACACGGCCCAGACUCCUACGGGAGGCAGCAGUGGGGAAUUUUGGACAAUGGGGGCAACCCUGAUCCAGCCAUGCCGCGUGCGGGAAGAAGGCCUUCGGGUUGUAAACCGCUUUUGUUCGGGAAGAAAUCCUCUGGGCUAAUACCCCGGGGGGAUGACGGUACCGGAAGAAUAAGCACCGGCUAACUACGUG